UCACAAGUUAACUAGCCAACCACAGUUAUUAGAGCAACACAUCUAGAUAGAAUAAGAUGAGGAGGGCUAAUAUGGUUCUGCUCCUGGCUGUUGGCUUCCUCAUGCUGGCUUCCGAUGCUGUCGCGCUCAAGAAAGUUUGUACGUCUAAGAAGAUCCCGCCACAGGGUAAAGCAUGUGACCCCAAAACUUGCCAUGAAAAUGCUAAGAAAGAUUUCACCGCUGGUGGAGCUCGGUGCCCGGAUCAUUCGUCUUGCUACGUGCAGGGCCAUUGCGUUGCUGGAGGUUGCCAGCGCAUCGUGUGCGCAGUCUACGUAGACCCUCCAUCCCUUUAACAACAAAAUGGGUACUGACUGGCCAUGGUGGUAGCCGGUAGGGUGCCAUGAUGUACUGACAUCGAUACAGAAAUAAAUGAAGUUUCAUAUUGAUUCGCCAA